rnacentral:lncRNA from 1 species
CGAAACACACAACUGGAAACGGAAUGCCAAUCAAUGGUCUUAUAUCCAACUCCGAACAAAACAAACAAACAAGGAAACCGAAUGCCAAUCGCUGGACUUACAUCAGACUCCAAACAAACAAACACACACAGGAAACCGACUGCCAAUUGCUGGACUUAUGUCAGACUCCGAACAAACAGACACACACAGGAAACCGACUGCCAAUCGCUGGGCUUAUGUCAGACUCCGAACAAACAGACACGCACGGGAA